rnacentral:lncRNA from 1 species
GCCAGGAAGUGAGCCCUUCAAGUCAGUGGGCACCUCCUAAGGAUUUCUCGGACUUGUGUGUGUGUUCUAGCUUCCUUCCUGUGGCUCUGAUACAAACUCUGGCCCAAAGCAACUCGAGGAGAAAAGCCUCUACUUAGCUGAGCCAACUCUUCGGAAGCCUCUCUUGGGCAACCCCUCACUGGUGCCCUUCCUUCCUUGAUGCACACUUGCAAAGCUGUCAUCCAAAUUCCGUUCCUCUACAAAUGAUGCCUUUCUGGUCUCCAGGUAGCUCUGCAUAGGGCAUAUUAGCGUCAAUGAUUCACAACCGUGCUUAGUUAUGUGCACUGUUGCAGCGAGGGGAUUGGUAAAAGACUGCCCUGCAGCUAUUUACAGGUCAGUUCCCCCCAGGAAUUAGGCUUAUUCUGUUGGACAGAAUGAGUGAGAAGAAGCCACUCUGCUUUCAAUAAAGCCAGAGUGCUAACAGCUGAAGCUGAGUCAAGAUGUAAGGAGCAAACUGUGGGUCAACUUAGUUCUUUUUCAGGUCAGUUAUAAAUAUUUGUAGAAUGUCUCCUACGUGCCGGGCCCUGUGUUUCCUGCCUGCUUGGGCUAACUUCGCUGACUUGACUUUAGACCUCAUAAAAAGCUUGGAAAGCAGAAGAUAAAAAAACCUAAAUUCCUGGACCUGAUCUCCAGAUUGUCUGCACUAGGCAACAGAUUCACCCGUUUUAGCCCUUUUCCAGCUGUGGGGGUGAGAAGGGGCACUUUCAAGUCUUGGCAUAUACAAUUAAAUCCAACUGUGCUGUGGUUUGGCACCACCUGGUGGCAAUUUUCUGGCUCCCAUUUAAAUAUCCUCAAGGGACUCUAGGCUCCUGACUGGUUACGACUUGCAGACACAGGCAGCUAUUCUUGUUUCUGUAUCAGUUUGACCCAAGGAGAUUGAGCCUGUAGAGGACCACAGGGGACCCCUGAACUUGUUGUUGACCUUCAUAAUCCCUGUUUGCUGCCCAUCUGGCUUCUGUUUCCUCAAGUCCGCUGCCCCCAACCCUCUGUUAAUCACCAGAAGCAGCAGCAGCAACAAAACAGCAAUAACAAAAAAUACUGUGGUGGGAGCCUGAAGCCAAUAGUCAAUUAUAUAAGCUUGUGGUAGAAAGGAGAUUCAUCAAAUCACAGGAAUAAAGUCAUGUCAAAGAUUCAGCAUCAUUAAUGAACCGACAUGACUAUUAUACUUAGUUAAGUGUAUUUACAUUGACUUAAUGGAGAUCUAGCAAGCAAAGAGAGCCCUGGCAGAAACAAAAUGUGAAAACAAUAUUGUACUGAGCUACGUUGUUAAAACAAAGUGAUGUGUUAUUGGAAAGUGAGGAAAGGUUUGUUAAUUUGUACACACAAUUUUAUCAAGCACAUGUGUGUAAAGGCAUCACAGGGUUACUGAAAAGAGACAGAGCCUGAUAAUGAGGCAACUGCAUGGAGAGGUAGAGCACUGUCUAAUGAGACAGAUAUUCGGGCAAUAAACAGCCAAAUAGCAUGUAACAUCACCUAAGAAUGGCACAC